UGAGAAAAUGUGCCCCACCCCACC
rnacentral:piRNA from 1 species